UGUUUUCUGUGAUGAAUCACAAGGACAGUAUUUUAAUAAGGCAUCUGUUUAAAAAGAGCCUUCUUCCUUGAGUAUGCACACUAAACUGAUAAUGUAUUCUCAGCAAACA